CCUACGGGAGGCAGCAGUGAGGAAUAUUGGUCAAUGGGCGGAAGCCUGAACCAGCCAAGUAGCGUGCAGGAUGACGGCCCUACGGGUUGUAAACUGCUUUUAUACGGGAAUAACGCGCCUUACGUGUAGGGCUUUGCAUGUACCUUAUGAAUAAGGACCGGCUAAUUCCGUGCCAUCAGCCGCGGUAAUACGGAAGGUCCGGGCGUGAUCCGGAUUUAUUGGGGUUAAAGGGAGCGUAGGCCGCAUGUCAAGCGUGCUGUGAAAUGUCCGGGCUCAACCCGGGCCUUGCAGCGCGAACUGGCGUGCUGGAGUCCGCGGAAAGCAGGCGGAAUUCGUGGUGUAGCGGUGAAAUGCUUAGAUAUGACGAAGAACCCCGAUUGCGAAGGCAGCUUGCUGCAGCGGAACUGACGCUGAUGCUCGAAAGCGCGGGUAUCGAACAGGAUUAGAUACCCCAGUAGUC
rnacentral:rRNA from 1 species